GACGAACGCUGGCGGCGUGCUUAACACAUGCAAGUCGAACGGAAAGGCCCUGCUUUUGUGGGGUGCUCGAGUGGCGAACGGGUGAGUAACACGUGAGUAACCUGCCCUUGACUUUGGGAUAACUUCAGGAAACUGGGGCUAAUACCGGAUAGGAGCUCCUGCUGCAUGGAGGGGGUUGGAAAGUUUCGGCGGUCGGGGAUGGACUCGCGGCUUAUCAGCUUGUUGGUGGGGUAGUGGCUUACCAAGGCUUUGACGGGUAGCCGGCCUGAGAGGGUGACCGGCCACAUUGGGACUGAGAUACGGCCCAGACUCCUACGGGAGGCAGCAGUGGGGAAUAUUGCACAAUGGGCGGAAGCCUGAUGCAGCAACGCCGCGGUCGGGAUGACGGCCUUCGGGUUGUAAACCGCUUUCGCCUGUGACGAAGCGUGAGUGACGGUAAUGGGUAAAGAAGCACCGGCUAACUACGUG
rnacentral:rRNA from 1 species